GAUGAACGCUGGCGGCGUGCCUAAUACAUGCAAGUCGAGCGAAUGGAUUAAGAGCUUGCUCUUAUGAAGUUAGCGGCGGACGGGUGAGUAACACGUGGGUAACCUGCCCAUAAGACUGGGAUAACUCCGGGAAACCGGGGCUAAUACCGGAUAACACUUUGAACCGCAUGGUUCGAAAUUGAAAGGCGGCUUCGGCUGUCACUUAUGGAUGGACCCGCGUCGCAUUAGCUAGUUGGUGAGGUAACGGCUCACCAAGGCAACGAUGCGUAGCCGACCUGAGAGGGGGAUCGGCCACACGGGGACUGAGACACGGCCCAGACUCCUACGGGAGGCAGCAGUAGGGAAUCUUCCGCAAUGGACGAAAGUCUGACGGAGCAACGCCGCGUGAGUGAUGAAGGCUUUCGGGUCGUAAAACUCUGUUGUUAGGGAAGAACAAGUGCUAGUUGAAUAAGCUGGCACCUUGACGGUACCUAACCAGAAAGCCACGGCUAACUACGUGCCAGCCGCCGCAGUAAGAC
rnacentral:rRNA from 1 species